rnacentral:RNase_P_RNA from 1 species
UAAGUAAGACAGACAAUCGCGGCUGCAUGUGCCGAAAGGCCGCAGACGAGGAAAGUCCGGGCUUCGCAGGGCAGGAUGCCGGAUAACGUCCGGUGGAGGUGACUCCAAGGCCAGUGCAACAGAAAUAAACCGCCUGCGUUUUAGCAGGUAAGGGUGGAAAGGCAGUGUAAGAGACUACCGCCCUUCUGGUAACAGAAGGGGCACAUGUAAACCCCAUCCGAAGCAAGACCGAAUAAAAGCCAUGCGGCGGCCCGUCGCGCUUUAGGUAGGUUGCUUGAACCUGAUGGCAACGUCAGGUCUAGAUAGAUGAUUGUCCAAUGACAUAACCCGGCUUAUCGUUUUGCUUAAUUU